rnacentral:rRNA from 1 species
UGGAUGAUGUGGAUUAAUUCGAAGCAACGCGAAGAACCUUACCAGGUCUUGACAUCCCGAUGCUAUUUCUAGAGAUAGAAGUUACUUCGGUACAUCGGUGACAGGUGGUGCAUGGUUGUCGUCAGCUCGUGUCGUGAGAUGUUGGGUUAAGUCCCGCAACGAGCGCAACCCCUAUUGUUAGUUGCCAUCAUUCAGUUGGGCACUCUAGCGAGACUGCCGGUAAUAAACCGGAGGAAGUGGGGAUGACGUCAAAUCAUCAUGCCCCUUAUGACCUGGGCUACACACGUGCUACAAUGGUUGGUACAACGAGUUGCGAGUCGGUGACGGCGAGCUAAUCUCUUAAAGCCAAUCUCAGUUCGGAUUGUAGGCUGCAACUCGCCUACAUGAAGUCGGAAUCGCUAGUAAUCGCGGAUCAGCACGCCGCGGUCGAAUACGUUCCCGGGCCUU